rnacentral:rRNA from 1 species
UAUGUGAUCGUCUCUCGCAUAUCAAUAAGCGGAGGAAAAGAAACUAACAAGGAUUCCCCUAGUAACGGCGAGUGAAGCGGGAAGAGCUCAAAUUUGAAAUCUUAAAGGGUUUCCCUUUACGAAUUGUAGUUUAAAGAAGUGUUUUCUGUUGAGGUUUUGGUAAAAGUUCUUUGGAAUAGGACAUCAUAGAGGGUGAGAAUCCCGUAUUUGACCUUUACUUUCAACUUUGUGAUACACUUUCAAAGAGUCGGAUUGUUUGGGAAUGCAGUCCAAAAUGGGUGGUAAAUUUCAUCUAAAGCUAAAUAUUGGCGAGAGACCGAUAGCGAACAAGUACCGUGAGGGAAAGAUGAAAAGAACUUUGAAAAGAGAGUUAAACAGUACGUGAAAUUGUCAAAAGGGAAGCGUUUGACACCAGUGUUGUUUUUCUGAAAAUCAAUUAAAGAACUGUUUAUGCUAAGCUGUUUAGACUUUAUCAGCUAACUGUUUAGUUUUGAGCUUUUCUUUAAUGCACUUUUCAGUUAACAAGUCAACAUCAAUUUCUUUUGCUGUAAAAAAGCUUGAGGAAGGUGGCUUGAGAUUCGUCUUAAGUGUUUAUAGCCUCUUGCCUAUGCAGUCGGAGAGAUUGAGGUCUGCAGCGUAGAUCCUUCGGGGCUAAAUGCAUUUGUGCUAAGUUAUAGCAUUUUAUAGACAACUUGUUGACUAUGAUUUGUCUUGUAGCUUACUCGCUUAUGUUAUUUUACCUACGCUUAGGAUGUUGAACGCGCACAGAGUCUC